UCUACGACACAGAGCCGGGCAGGUACCUGUA
rnacentral:piRNA from 1 species